GUAGAUUCAUGUUUUACUAACUUUCUUUGGUAUUUUUGUUUUACUAGAGACGCUAAAACACUAACAUAAAGGGAAGCAAUGGGACACAAACACAUAUAUUACUAUCAUACAAGUAACAAAGGGGAAGAAAUAAUGCUAUGACAGAGACAGAGACAGAAAUGUAUCACAACACAAACAUAUAUAUUUUCACAUGAACGUAAUUAACACAGGGACUACAGAACACACAUAAGCACACAUAUGCGAACAUGGUACUACACCAUGAUUCAGGUUACACAAGUAAACAAAUUAAACAAGCCACUUGACUAGUAUCACAGAUCAACAGAGUAGUAUUGAACUACUAAAAAUAGACAGUAGAAGUAACUAGUACAGGAAGCAAGUACUCUUAGAAUCUGAAUGUACAGACUAGACGUCUCAAACUAUAGAAAAUUCAGAGAAGAAAAGGAGAAAGAGAGAUGGCAGCAGGAGAUUAGAGAAAGAAGAAGCAGGGGCAUGGAGAAGAGGAAGAGCAGCAAAGGAAAGGAGUAGUAGCAGCAGUAUGGUGGCGCUAGGGAGAUGGAGCGCGGUGUGUGCUGGCGGCGGCGUGGAAAUGGAUUGGUGCUAGUGGAUGCUGGUGAUGGCGCGGUGGCGCGUGUGGAGCAGGGGGAGAUGCUGGGUGGCGCACCACCACGCCGGCCUGGCCGUGGCGGCGGCCGAUGGUGGAGAAGAAGGGGAGAGGGAGAGAGAUGAGAUGUAGCCAGGCCCAAAGGGGAUCGGUGGCUAGCGCUAGGGAUUUAAUCCCACGAUCAGAUUUGCCAUUUUUUUGAUUUGGCCCUCCUGCUCCCUUCUUUCUUCGCAAGCACAUCCCUUCCCUUCUCUAGUUUGGCCCUCGGUUUCUUAUUUCCUUCAUGCUCAGGUCCCCCUUCUUUCUUUCCCGUCCUUGUCUUGUAUUCUUUGGCCUCUUAGUCAGAAUCUUGAGGUUUAUAGUGCCUUUGCGCACUUUUCUGCAGAAGAAACAAAUGACGAGUAAAUGAUCUUUUUUAUGAUUAUCAAGCAAUAUUCAAUCAAUCAUGGCAAGAAUGGACGGAUAUAUCACGAUAGAUGCUAAAUUUGUGUGCCAAAUUAUGAAUAGGAAAUGCUCUUAUCAAGUUCCCCCACACUUAAACUUUUGCUUGUCCUCAAGCAAAGGAAUAUGACAAGAGCUAGAUAAUGAACAGUGAGCUGACUGGAGAAUGUCCCAGUGAAGUAGAUCUCCAAACAAAGCAUGCUUUGGACUUAACUAGUGAAAAUCAAUGGUUAAGAGUGCUACAGAGCAAUAGAAUACUAGUAAGCAUGACCAUUUUAAACUUUUACAAUGAUACAAGAGGAUCAACAAGUUUAAAUGAUGACUGUGCCAAAUGGUUCCUAAAGAGAGCAUGAUCCCAAGAACAAAAUGAACUGGAAUUAAAUCUUGUGAUCAAAUAACUUAUUUACAGAGAUAAAGCAAUGAUUAUAUUAUUAUUAGUCUCACCAUAGGAACAUACCACCGAUCCCGAGAACAUGGUAUACACCUGGCUCAACCAAUUUUUAUUAAUUUUUUUUGUUUGUCUCCCCAAAGGAACAUACCACCAAUCCCGAGAACAUGGUAUACACCUGGUUGGACAAUUACAUUUUUAUUAUUAUUAAUUACUGCCCAAGCUAACCCGAUUUCACAUGCCACUGAUCCCGGGAAAAUGACAUGCUACUGUAGGUAGCCAGACUUAUUUAUGCAUUAUUACUUAUCUUAAAUGAACAACGCAUAAGAACAAAAACAGGAAUAAUCACUUCUCCAUGUCUGGUUCACAUGCUACCGAUCCAGGGAACAUAGCAUGCUAAUCCAUAGUGGUAAGGCGAAUGCUCUCAAUGGGAAGACACUUGGCACAAACUCAGCAUCUGACACUUGAUGAUCUAGGUGUAUCAUAGUAAAUGCAGAAAAUGAUUAAGUUUUCUAGUGUACUAGGGAUUUGAGCACUCAAAACUAAUAGCUUUCACUAAUUUCAGCAAAGCAAGCAUUGUAUAAAUCACUAGUUUACCAGGCAUUCAACACUCAGUUCACAUAUUCACAUCAAGCAUCAUAUGUCAAAGGUAAAAUUCAAUGGGACGACAUUUAAGAAAUGGCUUAAGCAACCCAAAUAACAUUUGAUUUCAACAUGUAUCAAUGGAUGAUAUACUCGGAAUGGGUCAUGAAACAGCUCACCGGGCUUUGAUGAUGUAGCACUCGCUCGAUCACCUCACCAACUGCAGCUCCUCUCCUUUUGCUUCCUCAUGCAUGCUCCAGCUUCACUCUUUUUUUCGUAUGUGCCCCUUGCUUCUCCUCAUCCCCAUGCUCUGAGUCCACCAGGAUCCCAUGGGAUGUCAUCUCGAACUUGGUCAGCAUGUAUUGAUUCGUGCACAAGCAAAAGCCUGAAAUAGGACUCACACAAACAACUACAAGUGAUACGGUCGAUGCCCUCCAAGUCAUCAAUGGAAUAUCCAAUUAUAUAGGCAUAACUAUAAAACACAUGUUUAGGAUGGCAGAAAUCAGCAUGGUCAAUACUCACACGAGGAUGACAUUUAUCAUUAAGCUCAAGACUAGCAUAAGAAUGAUAUGUUUCAUUAAGCAUAGGACUAGCACGAGGAAAGUAACUAUGAUCAUCACAAAUGAGAGUAAUGCCACUAACAGGGUAUAUAUCAUCAUAUCCAAGCAAAUGAGUUUUCAAAUCAAUCUUAAGUGAUGGUAUCAUGUAAUGCAAGGUGGAAGCAACAAAAUCAUAAGGGAGCAUGUCAUCAAGAGGAUUGGGAAAACCUGACACAUCACGCUCAUGUAUGAAAAUAGGCCAAUGAAUCUCAGGUUCUUCAUCUUCAUCUACAUCAGCUUCUUUUACUUCUUCAGGAGUAGUAGAUGACGAGUCUUCAACUUGAUCACUUGGGAAUUGCAGAUCUUGAUCAUCUUGUUCCUUGUCUUCUAGUUCAUCUUCUUCAAUCUGAGGUAUCUCUUGCUCAAAGCACUUGCUAUCUUGCUCAGCUAGAUGUGACGGUAUUGGAACCUCACAUGUAUCAAGGGGAAUCUCCGCCACACCCAACUCAAGGAGGGAAGAGAUAGUACUGCCAGCAUUGAUGUUCUUCUCAAUCUUCCUUACUUCUUCCACUAGCUCCUUUCCACUUUUAAUCUUCUUCAUUUCCUCAAGUAUCACCUUCCUAAUGGGAUCAUCCUCGGCACUCCAAGUGAACUCGAGACUCAAAAGUGUGAGCUUGUCUAUGUCAUCGAACUCAUCUUGUGUGGGCACUUGUGUUGGAGGUGUUGGUUGACCAAAUGGAGGACUAUUUAACUCCAUCGGCAACAUCUCCUGGUGCUGAGGUAUAUGAAUAGGAGCUGAAUAAGACUGUUGUGGAUCAUAGUCGUGGCUCUCCUCUUCAUACCUAAAUCCCUGCAUAUGAUUACUAGAAGCAAACGAUGAGAUCUCAGGUUUAUUGCUCCUAUGUGACAUAUUCUGGUUUUCAGGCCACCCAUGUGUGUAAUUGUUUUGGUAUGAGCUAGGCUGUGGGACGAAGCUCAUGCCAUAACAAUCAGGAGGGUGAGAGUAACCACGCUGACAUUCAGCGGGUGAAUGGCCCUGAAAUCCACAAAUAUGGCAUGUAGGAGCAACAUAAGGAUGACCUCUAGAAUAAGGAUCAUAAGAGCUAGGCCUAUCCUCAAAAACUCCUUCUCGCUGCCGAGCUAAAUCAUCUAAUCGAUGGGAAAUCUUACCUAUCAGUUCUUGAACACUUUCCGUGCUGUUUGUAGUGUUGCUCGAAUAAGCCUGAUGAUCCGAAUAGUAAGCCAUAACCGAGAGGAUAAUCCAACCUGCAAAAAGGAAGAGAAAACAAAAAGAUACUAACUAAAACAGGGGUUAGUGGCUAGAGAUAUAUCACAAAUAUAUAGCACAAAGGGAAAAACAAGAAAGACCUAGUCUAAAGCCUCACACAAACGCUCAACGCUAGUCCCCGGCAACGGCGCCAAAAUGAUCAAUUAUAAUAUAGCGGGCUUAUACGCCCCAAACUACGGAUGUCGUGUUCUCCACAGGGACUAGGCAAUCAGCGGCUACGCUCGACUAAAGCUAGGUAAUACAAUUCAGAUGAUGGGAACGGAAAAUAAAGCUAAACUAUGAAGAUUGUCGCCAAUGAAAAUGCAAAAAGGGCAAAGGUAGAUUCAGAUUUUACUAACUUUUCUUGGUAUUUUUGUUUUACUAGAGACGCUAAAACACUAACAUAAAGGGAAGCAAUGGGACACAAACACAUAUAUUACUAUCAUACAAGUAACAAAGGGGAAGAAAGAAUGCAAUGACAGAGACAGAGACAAAAAUAUAUCACAACACAAACAUAUAUAUUUUCACAUGAACGUAAUUAACACAGGGACUACAGAACACACAUAAGCACAAAUAUGCGAACAGGGUACUACACCAUGAUUCAGGUUACACAAGUAAACAAAUUAAACAAGCCACUUGACUAGUAUCACAGAUCAACAGAGUAGUAUUGAACAACUAAAAAUAGAUAGUAGAAGUAACUAGUACAGGAAGCAAGUACUCUUAGAAUCUGAAUGUUACAGACUAGACGUCUCAAACUACAGAAAAUUCAGAGAAGAAAAGGAGAAAGAGAGAUGGCAGCAGGAGAUUAGAGAAAGAAGAAGCAGG
rnacentral:lncRNA from 1 species